UGGGGAAUAUUGCACAAUGGGCGCAAGCCUGAUGCAGCCAUGCCGCGUGUAUGAAGAAGGCCUUCGGGUUGUAAAGUACUUUCAGUCGGGAGGAAGGUGGUAAGGUUAAUAACCUUAUCAAUUGACGUUACCGACAGAAGAAGCACCGGCUUACUCCGUGCCCGCAGCCGCGGUAAUACGGAGGGUGCAAGCGUUAAUCGGAAUUACUGGGCGUAAAGCGCACGCAGGCGGUUUGUUAAGUCAGAUGUGAAAUCCCCGGGCUCAACCUGGGAACUGCAUUUGAUACUGGCAAGCUUGAGUCUCGGAGAGGGGGGUAGAAUUCCAGGUGUAGCGGUGAAAUGCGUAGAGAUCUGGAGGAAUACCGGUGGCGAAGGCGGCCCCCUGGACGAAGACUGACGCUCAGGUGCGAAAGCGUGGGGAGCAAACAGG
rnacentral:rRNA from 1 species